GAUGAACGCUAGCGGGAGGCCUAACACAUGCAAGCCGAGCGGUAUUGUUUCUUCGGAAAUGAGAGAGCGGCGUACGGGUGCGGAACACGUGUGCAACCUGCCUUUAUCUGGGGGAUAGCCUUUCGAAAGGAAGAUUAAUACUCCAUAAUAUAUUGAUUGGCAUCAAUUAAUAUUGAAAGCUCCGGCGGAUAGAGAUGGGCACGCGCAAGGUUAGCUAGUUGGUGAGGUAACGGCUCACCAAGGCGAUGAUCUUUAGGGGGCCUGAGAGGGUGAUCCCCCACACUGGUACUGAGACACGGACCAGACUCCUACGGGAGGCAGCAGUGAGGAAUAUUGGUCAAUGGGUGCAAACCUGAACCAGCCAUCCCGCGUGAAGGACGACUGCCCUAUGGGUUGUAAACUUCUUUUGUAUAGGGAUAAACCUACCCUCGUGAGGGUAGCUGAAGGUACUAUACGAAUAAGCACCGGCUAACUCCGUGCCAGCCGCCGCAGUAAUAC
rnacentral:rRNA from 1 species